rnacentral:lncRNA from 1 species
GUUGUAUUCAGCAUUUCACUGUAAGGUCUACUACACCUGUUGUAUUCAGCAUUUCACUGUGAGGUCUACUACACCUGUUGUAUUCAGCAUUUCACUGUGAGGUCUACUACACCUGUUGUAUUCAGCAUUUCACUGUGAGGUCUACUACACCUGUUGUAUAGAGCAUUUCACUGUAAGGUCUACUACACCUGUUGUAUUCAGCAUUUCACUGUGAGGUCUACUACACCUGUUGUAUUCAGCAUUUCACUGUGAGGUCUACUACACCUGUUGUAUUCAGCAUUUCACUGUGAGGUCUACUACACCUGUUGUAUUCAGCAUUUCACUGUGAGGUCUACUACACCUGUUGUAUUCUGCAUUUCACUGUGAGGUCUACUACACCUGUUGUAUUCUGCAUUUCACUGUGAGGUCUACUACACCUGUUGUAUUCAGCAUUUCACUGUAAGGUCUACUACACCUGUUGUAUUCAGCAUUUCACUGUGAGGUCUACUACACCUGUUGUAUUCAGCAUUUCACUGUGAGGUCUACUACACCUGUUGUAUUCAGCAUUUCACUGUGAGGUCUACUACACCUGUUGUAUUCAGCAUUUCACUGUGAGGUCUACUACACCUGUUGUAUUCAGCAUUUCACUGUGAGGUCUACUACACCUGUUGUAUUCAGCAUUUCACUGUAAGGUCUACUACACCUG